rnacentral:lncRNA from 13 species
AUAUAUAUAUAUUUAUAUGAAGAUCAAAACCCAAUGGGAAAAGAAAAAAGAUAUGAAAGAAUAAUUUAUUUAUUUAUUUUCUUUCUUUCUGUUUUUUUUUUUUUUUUUUUUUUUGGUAGAGACAAGGUUUCACCAUAUUGUCCAGGCAGAUCCUGAACUCCUGGGCUAAAGCAGUCCCCUGCCUCAGCCACUCAAAAUGCUGGAAUUACAGAUGUGAGCCACUGUGCCUGAUCCCAAAAAGAACAAGAGCUGCUCUUAGCCAGAAAAGUGCCAGAUGGUACUGAGGAAUCAGACUCAUACUAUUCCAGAGCAAUGUCAUCUGCAGAAGAGAGCCAGUAGCUAAUUGACAGAGACGACGCCCUUGUUGUUUUUAUGGAAGUCAAGAUGUCCUGUGUCUAUCACUAGACCUGUUCUUCUAUAAUUGGCUUGGGUCUCAAGCUCUCUUUGGAACGUGAUUCUAGGUAUGAUCUUGCCUCUUCAAUUCUAUCUUCAGACGUAACGCUGCAGUACCUUCUUCUUCAAAUGGCUUCUCUUUACUUCUCCAGCUUUGAGAAAUCCAUCCUCCUCUCCCUCAGAGAAAUUUGGGGGAUGCGUGCAACUUUUCCCUUGCUUCUGAAAUGAUAACUCUGCAUUCAUUCUCCACCAUCAUUAAUCAUGCAUAGCUGUGCUCAUUGGGGCAAUGUUUUGAGAACCGAUGGAGGAACAAGAUCUUAUUAGCACUGCUUUCCAUGGUUUAUCACUUACGGCCAAUGUCACACAGGAUUUUCAACCAGGAUGGGAACGCCCAGCAGCUGGAAGCCCAGCUGCCAAUUCAUCAAUUUGAGAAGCAUGAGGCAAGGCCAGAUUUAAUUGCACAGUGAAAGGCAGUUCUACCCAGAAGCCACUGCAGGAGGCUGUGCUCUGCUAGGGCAGAGCCUACUCUACGGAUCCAGUCUGUUCAUUUUGCAGAAAAGCCCCUUGAGGCCCAGAGAGGUAACGUGACUUGUCCUAGGUCACACAGUGAAUUAUCUAGGUCUUUACGCUCUAACACUGCCUCCCUUGCUCCCUGAGCUGGAGAGUAAAGUAGCGAAGAAUCGUGUGUUCUAAGCAGCCCUUUGGACUUGAGCCACGUUGACCUCUGCUUAUUUGUAUUUUUUUCUUUAGGAAUUAUAUUUUUAAAAAUAGUACAUUGGUUGUUUCUAUUUUGUAAUAGUCAGAAGUUCAUGGAUGAGAAUUUGGAAAAUAUAGAGAAAUUUAAGAAAAAAUAACCAUGAAGAGAUGACUUCAAGUUAGCAUUUUUUCUUCACUUACAAUUAUUUUAUGUACAUGUGCACAUUUUUAAUUUGUAUUUUGGAUAAAAUCGAGGUCACAUUAUAUGUGCAGUUUUAUAUUCUGUGUUUUUCCAUUUAUUGCAGUUUAUUUUCU